CACCAGGUGUCAACCCCACCAGGUAGCCAACCCCACCUGGCUAGGACCCAGUCCCUAGCUGCUCAAGACUGAGGCUGAGACGGGCGACCAGGAAGGGACUGUAUGGCUGUAGGAGGCCACACAGCCCCAGGAGGCUGCUUCGAAGAGGCCCACAUGGCCUGCAUGGGGAUGAGCCUAGCUGUCCAGCAUGUGGUCAUUUGAAUUGCACAUGUUUCAAUAGGAGGCCUACAGAACGGUAGACAGGAGAUCUGGAAAAAGUUUUUGAAAUGUUGUAAACUUAGCUACUUUAAAAAUAAAAAAAAAGCUUUAUGAUUAUAAAAGCAAUACAUCUCAAGUGUAAAUGCUAAAAUUUGCUGCAUUAUAGUAAGCAUUUUAUGAUCGCCAUGCACCCUAUACCAUUAUGUUGUAUAGUUUAAAUAUAUGUAAUAAAAUUUCUUUUAAAAAAUA